rnacentral:lncRNA from 1 species
GCACAGAUCAAAGAAAUAGAAUAAAGAAUCUAGAAAUAGACCCACCCAAAUAUGGUCAAUUAUUUUUAACAGAGACACAACAGCAACUCAGCAGAGAAUGGAGAGUGUUUUCAAAUGUUUCUGCAACAAGUGGAUGUCCACAUGCAAAUAAAUAAAUAAAACUCAACCUAUACUUCACAGCACGUAAAAACUAGACUCAAAAUAAAUUAUAGAUUUGAACGUAAAAUCUACAACUAUAAAACUUAUAGACAAAAAUAAAUGAGAUAAGCACUGUGAUGUAACAAAGAGUUUUUAGAUACAACCCCAAAAGUAUGCUCUAUUAAAGAAAAACACAAUAAACCAUACUUCUCCAACAAUAAAAACUUCUACUCUGCAAAACACACUGUUGAGAGAAUGAAAACACAAGCCACAAACUGGCAGAAAAUGUUUUCAAGUCACAUAUCUAAGAAGGACAUGUAUCCAGAAUAAAUAACAUAACUCUCAAAACUCAAUAAUAAGCAAAAACCAACCCAAUAAAAAGGGACAAAAGAUUUCAACAGCCACCUCAACAAAGAAGAUACAGAUAGGAAAUAAACACCAAAAAAAUACUCAGUAUCAUUAGUCACUAGGGAAACGCAAAUUAAAACCACAAUGAAAUACCACUAUACACCUUUUAUAAUGUCAAAAAUAAUUUUUUUAAAGAACUUAAAAUAUUAAGCACAGUCAGAGGAUGUAAAACAAUGGGAGCUCUCAUACAUUGCUGUUGGUAAUGCAAAAUGGCACAGUCACAUUGGAAAACCAAACAUUAUGAAAAAGUAGAAAGAAGAAAAUACAUUGUCAAGCAUUUUAUAAAAAUUGAAAUGCAAAUGGCACAUAAACUCGUAGGAAAAUGUUUGGCCCCAGUAUUAAGAGAAGAAAUAAAAAGUAAAAUAUCGAGGAAAUACUGUUCUUCAGGAUUCACCACUGUCACAGACUUUUUUAAAUAAUGGUACUCAAUAUUUGUGAGGAUUCAGUAAGACAUAUAUUCUCAUAAACUACUGGUGGCAAUAUAAUUUGUUAAACCUCUCCAGAACAUGAUUUGUAAAUAUCCUGUCAUGAGCUAUAAAAAAUUUCAUCUUCUUUGAAUCAGUAAUUUUACUUCUAUGAAUGGAUCCUAAGGAAGUAAUCAAAAAUGAAGACAGAUUUAUAUGUAGAGAAGUUCAUCAUGGCAUUAUUUUCAAGUCUGAAACAGUGGAAACAAUCUUAAUACACAAGAGGCUUAUAUUCAAUUAUUGCACAACUAUGAAACAGAAUAUUAUUCAGCCAUUAAAAAUAUUUAUGAAGCAUUUUUGAUGACGUGGGAAAAUACUUCCAAUGCAAUGAUAACUAAAAAAAAGGCAGAGUAGAAAACUGUAUAUAGUAGGACACUGAUAAUAUAUACAUAACUAUGUAUAUAUGAAUAAUUUUAAAGUUAGGAUUAUUUAUAUGUGGAUAUAUCUGUGAGAGACUACAAAAAAAUACAACCAUUUAGACUGCCCAACUAGGCUUUGUUAUUCUAUUUUUAAAAUAUUGUUUGAAAUCUUUCUUAAAUCUUCUGGUUUUUUCACAUUAAAAAAAUAAAUUGUACUACUUUUAUAAUGAGAAAAAAAUCACCGUUUUAAAGUAAUGUUUUCCUUUGUACUGUAUCAUAAAAUCUGGUUUUUAUGUCUACUUCAGCUGGAGACCCACACUGUUUCAUGACAUAAUUGUGUCUAAAGGAGAAAUGUCAAGGAUCUAGUUUUCCUCGGGAUUAUAUGAUACAAAGAUCUCCACUCCCUAGGUAGCUAUGAUCUCUUAGUAGCAAAGAUAAUUUCUGCUUGUAGAGUCUUAGGAUUUUAUUGAUCACAUAAUGUCCAUCAACAUCACCAAAGUAUGUGUUCCACUCAAACCUGACUCAGAGAGAAAUUUCACAAAUUAUUAUAGGUUACAGUAUUAAAAUAUCUUAUCCAAUAUCUUCUAAAUAUCUCCAUCACCAUAUAAUUCAUACCCCAUAGUGAACAAAAUGGAAUGGAAAGCGUGUCAUUUCAUUUUAUUGGUAGAAUGAGGUAAAGUCAAAGCUUCCAGUCACUGUAGACUUCUUGACACCUCAGAUAUUACGCUUCUAUACAUGCCAAGUUACCUAAAUUUUACGAUCAGAUUCCUGUAUAGGAAUGCUAUAAAAUGUUGUAGAUUAAGAAAAUGCAAAAUUUAGGAGAUUUUUUAAGCAAUUAACUGAGAAGAAAGAAGAAUAAACAAUUAACUAGACAGGAAUGGUGCAAGCUAAAAAUAACACUGCAUUGGAUACUUCUGGGAAAAUUCACCUUGAAGAAAUCACAGCAGAUAACUGAUUCAGCCACAAAUGAAGGGCCAAGAAAUAGACUUUAAAUACUUUUGACCAUAAGUAAGAAUAUUAUGUCUUUAUGUAAUUAAUAAUACAAGGCAGGAUAUAUCAUUAAAGACUUAUGAGGUGACUCUCAAGGUUUGUUUUUACUGGGGAGGAUUCUGUAGUUGUGUUGAUUCAUUUAAAGUGAAUGAGAGGAUCUUCUGGUUUCCUGUUAGGAUGUAGAAAAUUGUAGAAAGCAUCAUUUUAACCAUGACAACAAGACCAACAAAAUGCCAGAUGGUUGCCAAAUUUAAAACUCAUCUUGAACCCAACAGAAAGCUGAAGUUUCAGGGCAAGAAAAUCUAAGGAAAUAGAGGUUCCUUUAAGGAGAGGUGGGGCCUGAGGGCUUCUUAACUAGGGUAGACAUUUCCAGACACCAGUAAGAAGAAUUCAGCUAAUAUUUUUAACCAAUUACAAAAGACCAAAUAUGGGCUAGAGAGAGAACCCCUGUGAGACAAAGACCUAAAGGGAAUUUGCACCCACCUGCAGGCUAUACCCACAUACCUGACUGGGUGCUCACAAAAGAGGUAGAGGUAGGGCAAGAGUUUUAACAAAGCAUCUCAUAAGGGAAUAGUAAUCACCAAGGGAAAGGAUAUGAAUUCCUCUUUUGGAUCCUUCUCUAUUUUCCCUCUUGAACUAAAGGCUUAAGACAUUGGGGAACAGCAGCAAACUCUGUUGCCCUUAAGGUACUGGUAAAAACUCAUUGUGGCCAAGGAAAGAAAACAGAACAAAACCAUUACUGAUGAGGAGGGGUGGGAAUAUGUGCUGGGGACAGACCUACAGAUCACGGCAUGUUAGCUUAAUUGGUGACUAGAUUGGCUCCAGUGCCCAACUGGUAAAUGCCCAGCAGAAGGAAAGUUGUGCUAAUUUUCCAGACAUAAGAAUUAGUUACAUCAGUCUCUACUUUCCUGUACAAGUUAUCUGACUUUCAACAAAAAUUACGUGUCAUAAAAAAGGAAAAAACCCACAUUGUCAAGAGACAAAUCAAUCACCAGUAGGUUCAGAGAUGGCAACUGUGGGAAAUAUUAGAUAGGGAACUUAACCAUGAUUAAUAUCUUAAAUGAUCUAGUGGAAAAGAUGGACAACAUGCAUGAUCAGAUGGUUAAUUUCAGCAGAGAGAUGGAAACUAUAAGAGUUAAAUGGAAAUGCUAGACAUGAAAAAUACAUAAGAUAUCUAAAAUGCCCUUUAGCUUCAUCAGUAGAUUCAACACAGGCAAGAAAGGAAUCAGUAAACUUAAAGAUAGGUCCAUAGGAAUGACCCAAACUGAAACACAGAGGGGUUUAGGACAGGGAGAGGUAGGCAGGGAUAAGAGGACUCUUCAAAGUAGUUUGAGAGCUCUUGGGAGAUGUCCCGAUUGUCUUGAUAGGGCAACUUAAACCAUGUAAACAAAAUUCUCACCGGGCUUGUGCUUUGAGUGGUUCUUUGCCCCCGUUCAUCCAGUCCCAACAAAAGCAGUGUAAGCGCUUCAAGAGUCCCAUCCCUGCCUGUAAGUAGAAACUAACCUUUGGUUCCCAGUGUCAUGCAGACCCCGUCUUUUUUCCCAUCCCUCAGCAAGGCCUCUAGCUCAUAUCAGUAGCAUUGGUAUGGAUACUCCAUAGCUGAGCUCGAGGCUCCUAACAGUAAACCACUUUGUUAUAUGGAAAAUUGGGUCUCCCCUACCUCUCCCAGCUCAGCCAAUAAAUAAAGCAGUGCAGGUCCAGUUUCCUCUACUGGGGCACUUUUCUCAGCACUUGCACUACCAUUGACUCAAAUACAGCUUACUUCUGUGCACUCUACUUCUUCUAUGCUCAUAAAUUUAUUCUCAAUAAAUACUAUCACUGUUUCCAUUAUGAAUGCAUUAUGGUGUGGGUUACCAUGUACCCUACCUGAUGUUUGGGAUCUACUAUGGGGUCCCUGCCAGUGCCAGUUGAUUUGGUAUUAUGGUUUUUUUAAAUUAUGGAAAGAGGCUAACUGGAAAGGGCUAUAAGACAUCCCCAUGGGAGCAGUGGUAAGGUCACUUGGCUGAGGUUGGAUGGUUGGUGACAGGAUGGUUCCUGAGGGACAUGGCAGAAGGUGGAAGUGCUAUGAGAGGGCUAUGAGGGUAGAUAACAUGGUUCAUGAAUUGAUGCCCUGGUUACUCUGCAUUUGUAAGUAUUUUUGAGCCCUUGGGAGAAGGGAGAAGGGAGAAAACAGGAAAGACUCUCUCACUGCAUCCAGGGCAGCUGGUAGAACCAAUGACUUAUCCUGGAGAUGCCACAGGGAAAGACCCCUACCACUACCUCCAGUGUUGCCAACAGGACAAGACACAUGGCCACUUCAGAGACAGGGGAAGUUAUUCCAGAAGGGAAAGAAGAAUGGCUGGUAUUGCAGCUAUGGAGGCAGUUUGAAACUAAUUUCAUAUAGCACAUUAUACAGGGGACUAAAGGAGGCCAUCACUGGAAAGAGGUACCAGAUUACAUAUGAGAUCUAGCUCCCUACAUGAGUGCUAUCAUCAACAUGCAAAGGGGCCUUUAAAAGCUUAGGAUAUUCUUUUUCAUGAAGAAGGGAUGACAGUUUUAUUGAGUGAAGUUGCAUGAUAAGAGACAGGGUGAAUUAACAUAUGACCCCUGGCUAGAGAAUUAUGUAGGUUUAUUAAAAAUGGUAGGAAAGGCUAUUGCUGUCCAAUUCUUUAUCAAGUACUUGGUGCAUUUGGGAAUACAUACUCUUAUUGAGAAAUAUCCCUGAGGUUAUAAAUAUAAACUGGAUUACCUCACUAAGGUAUUUGCCACUUUGAGACAGUUGCUGUGUUACCAUAGUUAUAUGAGAGCUGGGACACUGAGGGAGAAUUUCUCACAAUACACCCUUGACACAGAGAAUGAAAGUUGAUUUAAUAUGGGCAUGUCCUUCUCAAAUGGACAAUGUCUUUACAUUUUCUUUUUUCACUGGGUGAAACUAAUGUUUCCCUACCUCAAAGGAGAAAAUAAUGAAAAGGGGCCCCAGAAUGUGUCUCAGGUUUCUCUCCAAGAUGAAAAAAAUUGGGGGAGCCAAGAAAGAAAAGACAGAGGAUCUUGUCACAGUUACUGUGGCUGCCUAACAAAUGACUCCUAAACUUAGUGUUUUAAAACAAUGACAACAUUUACUUUGCUUAUAAAUCUACAAUUUGAGCAGGGCUUGGUGGGGAUAAUUUAGUUUCUGCUCCAGCUGGCAUCAGCUGUGAGCACAAAAGGCUGGAAUCAUCUGAAAGCGCUCUCACUCACAUGUCUGGAAGGUGUUGCUCGAACCUCAGCUGGGGCUAUUAGCCAGAAAACUUACAUGUGGUUUCCCUAUGUGGCCUGGGCUGCCUCACAACAUGAUGACUGGGUUUCAAAAGCUCCAAGGGCAAAAGUACAGACUGAGAGCCAGGAUGGGAACUUUAUCAUCUUUUCUAACCUAGCUUUCUAAGUCAUGUAACAUCACUUCGACUGCAUUCUACUAAUUAGAAGCAGGUAUCUAAAACUGAUUUAUAUUCAAAGGGUAGGGAAUUAAACUCCACUUUUUGUGGGAGGAUUCAAAGAAUUUGUGAAUAUGUUUUAAAACUACUACCAUCUGUCCACUGGCCACAAAUUAUCUACAUUCCUUCCAUAUGCAAAAUACACUCAGACCUUCCCAAGCUCCUCCACAGGUUUCAUUUAUUACAGCACCAGACUCAGGUUCACCAUCCAUUUUACUUGGAUCUAGAUGUGGAUGAAGUGUUGCAGGUGUGGUUCCUUGAGUUCAGCUGCUCAUGUACAGCUUCUGUUGAGUUGAACACCUCUGAACUGAAAAGACCAGUUUUCUGCUCCAACUCACCCAACAUAUGUUGGUGGGAGAGACAUAGGACAACGAGUUUUCGACCAACAUGGGAAAAUGGGAGGUGCACAGGAGUCACUGGUCCAUAGCAAUACUGAAAUAUGGCCAACCACAUGUUUCCAGUUCAUCAAUCAAGUCUCAGUCACACUGCCUUGGAGCGAUUCACUUUGCCCUUCCCCUCUGUGCUCUUGUCCUCUUUCCUAUUAGUUAACUAUUGCUACAUAAUAAGUAAUUCCAAAACUUAGUGGUUUAAAACAAUGAUCACCAUUAUCUCUCUUUCUAGGGGUCAGAAAUUCAGGAGCAGCUGGAUGGCUCUGGUUCAAGAUCUCUUGCAAGGCUGCAAUCAGAUAUUGGCCAGGGAUGUAGCCGUCUGUAGGCUUGGAAUCCACUUCUCAGGUGGCUUCCUUGCGUGGUGUUGGUGUAAUGGUUGGGUUUUGGAUGUGUAUUAUGUGUAUGAUCCCCGGCCUCGUGACUCAUAAUCCAGUUGGAGUUAAAGAUCAUCAUCAAGGGGGCAGGAUAAAACAGCAGGACAGUUUUCCAGCUUCUGUGAAACAAGUUGUUAAAGUGUGGUUUCCUCAUUUGGCUGGAGUCAGUGUGAAUAACCAGAAAAUGUCCAAAUUAAAGUACAAAGGCAAAUAAUAAAUUUCUGCCUUGCUCAGCCCUCUAUAAGUUGAAUUGGGUG